rnacentral:rRNA from 1 species
GACGAACGCUGGCGGCGUGCUUAACACAUGCAAGUCGAACGGAAAGGCCCUGCUUUUGUGGGGUGCUCGAGUGGCGAACGGGUGAGUAACACGUGAGUAACCUGCCCUUGACUUUGGGAUAACUUCAGGAAACUGGGGCUAAUACCGGAUAGGAGCUCCUGCUGCAUGGUGGGGGUUGGAAAGUUUCGGCGGUUGGGGAUGGACUCGCGGCUUAUCAGCUUGUUGGUGGGGUAGUGGCUUACCAAGGCUUUGACGGGUAGCCGGCCUGAGAGGGUGACCGGCCACAUUAGGCCUGAGAUACGGCCCAGACUCCUACGGGAGGCAGCAGUGGGGAAUAUUGCACAAUGGGCGGGAGCAUGAUGCGGCAACGCCGCGUGCGGGAUGACGGCCUUCGGGUUGUAAACCGCUUUCGCCUGUGACGAAGCGUGAGUGACGGUAAUGGGUAAAGAAGCACCGGCUAACUACGUG